AAUAUUGGACAAUGGGGGCAACCCUGAUCCAGCCAUGCCGCGUGUGUUAAUAAUGUAUUCGGAUUGUAAAGCACUUUAAGUUGGGAGGAAGGGCUUUAGGCUAAUACCCUGAAGUUUUGUCGUUACAAAAAGAAUAGUCACUGGCGAACUCUCAUCCUUCAGCUGCGGUAAUACAGAGGGUGCAAUCGUUAAUCCGAAUUACUGGGCGUAAAGGACGCGUAGGUGGUUCAGUAAGAUGGGUGUGAAAUCCCCGGUCUUAACCUGGGAACUGCUUUCAUAACUGCUGAGCUAGAGUACGGUAGAGGGGAGUGGAAUUUCCUGUGUAGCGGUGAAAUGCGUAGAUAUAGGAAGGAACACCAGUGGCGAAGGAGACUACCUGGACUGAUACUGACACUGAGGUGCGAAAGCGUGGGGAGCAAA
rnacentral:rRNA from 1 species